ACUCGAACCACCCUAGGGACCGUCCUCUGGGGGGACUUUACCACGCCCAAUGGUGACCAACUCCGGAGCGCACCGCUCGAGGGGGAGCUACCUCCCUCAAGCCAAGACUUAUCGUGAGUAUCGAUCCAAUCCUCGACUUGAGGAUACACAGCCACUAGUCACAAUGCCAUUGUCAUAAUAGGUUUCUACCUAUUUGUUCAUGCUACUUUCCAAGUCAUACUUGUCACAAUGUCACUAUGGUUAAACUAUGUUUAACAACCAAUUUCUCAAUGCCAAUCAUGUCUCGAUUGUCAAUGUCACCUUUGUUUACUAUUGUCAAAGUCCAAGUCUCACAUUCAUACAACUUUAGGGUCUCUACCAUACAUGUCCAUUAUGGUUCUAUCAUUCUCUAUGUUCAACUACAUUAGAAGCAUAUAAAUCAUGUCUAACCAAGUUUCACAUGUAAAAUUACCCUAUUAUGCAUGAAUAAUUCUAUAUACAAGUAUGCUCAAUAAAGGUGAAAAUAGACAUAAAGGGGAAUCCGAUGAUUCUGGCGUGCACCCCCGACCUUGAAUAUCGUAGAAGGGUUGUAAUUCGACCCUCGUGAUUUUAGGACGCCUCUCCCGCGACCUAAACCCAAAAUAAAGCCAAAUUAGGCCCUAUAUACUAGAUCUCUUACUUAACCUUUUCGUAACGUUAAACGGAGUUGUCACAAGCGUCGGGAAUACCCCCAAUUAGGUUUCCAAGAGGUCAAUUUACCUCAGAAACAACCGGAGGCGAAAGCCCGAAUUUCCAAGCCCUAACAAUACGAUAAUGGAAUUUCUCCUAGAUUGAUCUCAUCUCUAAGCAAAAAUUAGCUUAGAAUCAAUUAGGAAGCAUUCUAAUACCAUUACUAAGCCCCUUGAACCAUUCCUAGGGCAUCUACUUUGGAUUCUAACAAUCCACCAUGAGAGCACCUUGAGAAAACCAUGCUUUCAUGGUGUUCUAAGCUCUAGAGGGUUUCUAAGCUUAUUAGAGGAUCAAAACUCCAAAACUUAAGGUUUAAAACCAAACCCUAGAGUUCUACUUGCAAGAUAACUCACCCUUGCCCAAGCUACACCAAGCUCCUUCUUGUUGGAGAGCUUCUAGCAACUUCAACUCCACCAAAACCACCUUCUCCUUGUUUCUUCUCCACCUCGUCCUUGCCCUAGAGCAAGAGUUCUAGAGAGAGAGAGAGAAAUGAGAGAAAGAGAGAAUGGAGGUCCCUGCUGUGAAGAGAGGGAAGAUGGGCUCCUAUAUAGUGUGCAACAAUUGCAAUUAAGCCCCCCAAAAGUCUUAUUUGCAAUAGACUUCAAAACUGCUGCCAGACCAAAGUGUACCGGUACACUUUGGGCUGUUACCGGUUACACGAUUACGCAGGGCAAACCCGAGAGCGUUUCCCUCGGAUUUUACCAAAGUAUACCAGUACACACCAAGGGUGUACCGGUACAUUUUCUAAGAAAAUCUCAAACCUGAGAGCUUACUCUGCGCGUGCUGCUGGGCUGUUACCGGUGACAACUUGAUGGUUGUACCGGUACACUUUGGCCAGAAUGCAAUUUUAGCUCCGAUUCGACUCUAUUUCGCGUCGGUCGAUGCUAAAACCCUCCUAACUCUUUCUAAACUUACUUUUAGCCCUUCCAACAUUGUUGGAAUGCUAAAUGCAACUCAUCCAUCCAUCAUUUUCGCAUACUUUAGUCAAUUUGGCUAAUGUUCGAUUAUUUCUUCCGGGUUUCAAUACGUUACAUUCUCCACCCCUUAAGAUUAGUUUCGUCCGCAAAACUAACUUAAUUGCAAUCUAAAACUCAUACCUCAUCUUAGUUCUUUGAAGAGAUGAGGAUGACGUUCUUUCAUCGCAUCCUCAAACUCCCAAGUUUCUUCCCGAUCGUCGUGUUCACUCCAAUGAACCUUAACAUAUGGAAUUUCACGAUUCCGUAGUUUUCGCACCUUCCGAUCAACAAUGUACUCCGAGAACUCCUCGUAAGUCAUAUCCUCUUGAAGUUCUAUCGGUAUAUACGAGAGAAUAUGCUCCGGAUCAUGGACAUACUUGCGGAGAUUGGAUACAUAAAACACAUCGUGCACCCCCGCAAGCCUCGGUGGUAAUGCUACUUUGUAAGCCACCGCACCAACCCUUUCUAAGAUCUCAAAGGGUCCGACAAAUCGGGGACUUAGCUUUCGCCGGACACCGAACUGCUUAACACCGCGCAUCAACGAUACCUUUAGAAAUAUGCGGUCUCCAACCGCGAACUCGAUAUCUUUCCUUCGCUUGUUGGCAUAGCUUUUGUGCCUCGAUUGCGCCGUCGCUAAUCUUUGUCGGGCAAGGCGAACUUUCUCCUCCGCCUCCCGAACCACAUCGGGGCCAAGGGCAACUCUCUUGCCCACAUCGCUCCAAUGAAUAUGAGAGCUAUAUUUUCUUCCAUAAAAGGCCUCAAAUGGCGCCAUUGCAAUACUUUCUUGAUAGCUAUUGUUGUAUGUGAAUUUCGCCAUCGAUAAAUGAUCAUGCCAUCCGCCCUUAUAGUCGAGUACACACGCUCGAAGCAUGUCCUCAAGUAUUUGAAUGGUCCUCUCCGAUUGGCCGUCACUUUGAGGAUGGAAUGCCGUACUAAAGUCGAGCCGUGUGCCUAACGCGUCUUGCAAGCUCUUCCAAAAAUAUGAUGUGAACCUCGGGUCCCAAUCUGAUACAAUAGAUAUCGGAACCCCGUGAAGUCUCACAAUCUCGUCGAGAUAAACCUGAGCUAGCUUGUCUCCCGACCAAGUAGUGUGGAUCAGUAAAAAGUGUGCCGAUUUCGUCGACCGGUCCACAACUACCCAAAUCGCAUCAUGUCCACCUUGGGAUCUAGGCAACCCCGUCACAAAGUCCAUAGCGAUAUUUUUCCACUUCCAAACGGGUAUAGGCAAACUUUGUAACUUUCUCGCCGAGAAUCGCCGUUCCGCCUUAACUUGUUGGCACGUGAGGCAUUGUACCACAAACUCCCAUAUGUCCUUUUUCAUGCCCGGCUACCAAUAAUGUAGCUUCAAAUCUUGAUACAUUUUAGUGCCGCUCGGGUGUAUACUAUAGGGAGCUUGAUGCACUUCUUGCAUAAUCGCCCUCCUAAGAUCGUCAUCCUUGGGCACGCACCAACGAUUCCGAUAUCGUAGCGCGCCAUCGGUCCCAAUGCCAAAAUCAUCGGCACUACCGCUCUCAACUUUAUCCCGCACUUUUUGGAGAAAUGAAUCGAAAACUUGGAGUUCUUUAAUCCUCUCCAACAAGGUCGGUUGUACAAUCAACGUGGCAAGUGUUGCCGGCACUCCCGGCGCCACAACUUCAAGUCCAAACCGUUGCAUCUCCUUUUGCAAAGCCAGUUGGGAUGUAAUUGCUGUCGCCAAAUUUUCCGCCGACUUUCUACUUAAAGCAUCGGCCACGACAUUUGCUUUUCCGGAGUGGUAGAGAAUCGUGACGUCAUAAUCUUUUAGCAACUCCAACCACCGCCGCUGUCGCAAAUUUAAUUCCUUUUGGGUGAACAAGUAUUUGAGACUCUUAUGAUCGGUGUAGAUCUCACAAUGCUCACCAUACAAAUAAUGCCUCCACAAUUUUAGUGCGAAGAUAACCGCCGCUAGCUUGAGAUCGUGAGUCGGGUAGUUUUUUUCAUAACUCUUUAAUUGAAGCGAACCAUAUGCUAUAACUCGGCCAUUUUGCAUCAAAACACACCCGAGACUGAUAUAAGAGGCAUCACUGUACACUACAUAGCUCUCCCUCGGCGUCGGCAAAGCAAGUACCGGGGUCGACGUCAAUCUUUCCUUUAACUCCUUGAAGCUCCGCUCACAUUCGGCGCUCCAAAUGUACUUCAUCCCUUUGUGGGUAAGGCGCGUUAAUGGAGUAGUUAUCUUGGCAAACCCCUCCACGAACCGCCGAUAGUAGCCCGCAAGUCCCAAAAAGCUACGAAUCUCCGAUACACUUGUCGGGCGAGGCCAAUCUUUAAUAGCCUCCACUUUCUUUGGGUCUACCAAGAUGCCAUCACCGAAUAUAACGUGACCCAAGAAAGUAACCUCCGAAAGCCAAAACUCACAUUUCUUUAAUUUUGCAUAUAGCUUCUCUUUUCGGAGCGUCUCCAACACGAUUCUCAAAUGCUCCUCGUGUUCUUCCUCGGUCUGAGAAUAUACUAAUACGUCGUCAAUGAAUACCACGAUGCACCGGUCCAAUAGCAAACGGAAGACUCGAUUCAUUAAGUCCAUAGAAGCCGCCGGGGCAUUAGUAAGCCCGAAUGGCAUGACUGUGAACUCAUAGUGGUCAUACCGCGUACGGUAUGCCGUUUUGUGCACAUCCUUGGGCCGUAUCUUCAAUUGAUGAUACCCCGAUUGAAGAUCAAUUUUAGAAUAUACUCUUGACCCUUGCAACUGAUCGAACAAAUCGUCAAUUCUAGGCAACGGGUACUUGUUCUUGAUCGUCACUUUGUUCAACUCGUGAUAAUCAAUGCAAAGUCGAAGCGUGCCAUCCUUUUUCUUUACAAAUAGCACAGGAGCUCCCCACGGAGACACUCUCGGCCGCAUAAAGCCUUUAUCGAGCAAGUCUUGCAAUUGAGCCUUUAAUUCCUUAAGUUCUACCGUUGCUAUUCUAUACGGAGCCUUCGAAAUUGGCGCCGCCCUGGGAAUUAAGUCAAUGACGAACUCGACUUCCCUGUCCAGUGGCAAUCCCGGUAACUCCGCCGGAAACACAUCCGGAUACUCGCAUACUACCCGAAUACCUUCAAGUUCCAGGUACUCCUUUUGGGCGUCUACGAUGGUCGCCAAAUAGGCCUUACAACCACCCUUAAUUAUUUUCCUCGCUCUCGCUGCCGAUACGGUCGCCGCGAAGCGCCUACUUUUACACGCCCGGUAUAUCAAUUCUUUUUGAUUAGGUUCACCGAACGUGAUCACCUUACUUUCACAAUCUAUGACCGCGUAAUACUUGGAGAGCCAAUUGAUCCCCAAGAUCACAUCGAAGCCCCAUAUUUGAUUUAACACCAAAAGGUCGAUCGGCAUAACCCAAUCACCUAUCUGUACCGGACACGCUAAGCACUCGUCAUGUACAUGAAACGAAUGCUCUGGAGUAUUCACCAACCAAUAAUCUUCAUUAUGUGUGAUCUCAAUGUCAUGAGUCUUAGCGAAUGAUGCAUCAAUGAAUGACUGAGAUGCACUCGUGUUGAAUAUAGCUCUAGCUCUAGUGCCUCUGAUAAGAAUAAUACCUGCCAUGACGUCGUCGGGGACUGGAAUCAGCUGCUCCUCUACCUGAGUGGCAAAAACCCGCCCACUAGGUGCUCGAGAAGCCUCCGGCUGAUGAGGCACUGAUAAAUGUCCAGCAGAUAUAGCGGGUGGUAGUCCCGCCAGCUGUCGUGGAGUAUACUAGACGGAAGCUGAUGACGGAGCUGGGGAUGCGCCGCCCGGGCACUCUCGGCUCAUGUGCCCCAGUUGGCCGCAUUGGAAGCAUCGCCCUCCCACUGUGGACAAGUAGCGACUCUAUGAUCUCCGCCGCAUAUCACGCACGGGUAGGUAGUCUGGCUCUGUGUCUUACUCCUACCUCCCCGCCACUGUGAUCGCUGAUAUCGAGGGGGUCGCUUAGAACUUGACUGCCCCGCGGAUACACUAGAUGCCCACUUCUUGGACUUAUCCCUUUCCUUGUCCUUCUCGAGAGCCUCGCGCUCCUCUCGCGCAAUAGCAUUACCGUCUCUACCCAAAGCACGCGGUCAAGUACCUCCUCGUAGGUCUUUAACCGAAAGGCAUGAAUAACCUUGAAAAUCCCGGGUCGCAACCCGCGCUCGAAUGCCUCCGCCCUGUCCCUAUCACCAUGAACCAAGCUCAGCACGCAAUUGACAAGGUGCGUGAACUCUCUUUCGUACUCCCGCACUGUGCGACUUCCUUGCCUCAACUUUCGAAAAUCCUCCUUGAUUUUCCGCUUGUCACUCUCGAAAAAAUACUCCAUCAAUAGCAUCUCCCGAAAUGCCUCCCAAGUAACAGAAGCGGAAUCCAACAAGUGAUUCUUUUUCGCUUGAGUCCACCACAACCGAGCCGACCAGUCGAAACAGUGAGCCGCAAGGUGAACCUUAUCCUUCUCGACGGUGUAAAUGUCCUCAAACAACGCUUCCAUCGUGGCCAACCACGACUCCACCAACCAAGGAUCCUUCAUAUCGCCGUUGAAGGUCGGAGGGUUGAAUCACUUGAAUGCCAUCAGCGCCGCCAACAAUCGCUCCUGCUCGGCCUCAAGUACAUCGAGAAUAAGGGCCGAUGAACCCGAUGCCAUUGGAGGAAUAGCCGUCACUGGUGCUACCGCCACCGCAGGAGGUGGUGCUAUAGGAGCAAUAGGUGCGGGCGGAUCCCUCGGCACAAAUGCCGCCGCCGCCGCCUGUCGCGCCAUCAACUCGUGGAGCUGUCCAAUUUGCUCCCCCUGUAGCCGCAUAGCCCCGGCCAAUGCCGCUACUUGGGCUCGCAGCUCGCGCACUUCAUCCGUUCCCGUCUGCUCGGGCACUUCAUCAGGCAAUGCCGAAGCGGCUCUACACGUGUAGCGUCUCGGGGACAUUGUUCCUGAAACGUAUCACAUGCAUUAGUACUCGAUACACGUGACUCUUACACGUUCCAAAUAAUUACCCCAUUAAGCGAAAGCAAUCAAGUGUAUUUAUUUCCAACCCUUGGCAUCAUGUGGUCGGCCAGCCCACACAAACCCCUUAAGUAGAAAACAAAUAAACACUUGAAUCCAUCUCUAAUUCCUUUUAGAGAAGUACCAUCAUUAACCCAAUCAACUAGCUUUCGCAAGUACCAAGUUCACGUUAAACGUUUCCUAAGUCCCUAAGGUCUCCAAUCCUAGGGUUCCUAAGUCCAUCCUAGACUUUUGCUUUCUUCCAUAGCUCUGAUACCAUUAUAUCUGUCACGCCCCAAUCCCUGCCAAAUUGGUCGAGCUCGGGUCACGUCAACAGACGCCGAACGGACAGCAUCUCCACUGUCCGCCCAAGGCUCUAACAACAAGUAUAAUUAAGCAAUCAAACAAAGAGAUAUGCAAUUAUACAAGGCUUGCACGAGGCAAGCAACAACGGAAGCGAAAGUUCUAAGCUAAAUAUACAACCAUAUAUGAUAUUUGAUUAUAUUUUAACCAAAUACAAAUAAACUACAACUAUUACAUUCUUUUUCCAUUCAACCAUAAUUCCUUACAUUUUGUCAUUCACCAAAAUACAUGAUAUGUUUUCAACUUUACAAUUCUAAUUCAACAAAAUAAAACUUGAUACAUGUAGGCAAAGGAAUGACUAAAAAUGUAUAAGUCCCGGUAGCCACUAGCUAUGGCGCAAUACCCUUGCCACGGUCCUCCGCCGCCCCGCUCAUGCUCGGACCUAUAGGGUUCGUGGUGUGAGAACUACAACGAAGUUUCCAGUGGGUUCGGCAACUGACCUCGCCGACUUACCCACUAGGUCUAUUCAGGCAUAAGUAUUUCAAAGGAAAGGAAAGUAGUAACCAUACUAAUGCUAAUACUAUGCCUGCAAGAAAACUGUCAAUAGAUAUAUAAUUAAAGCAAUAUUAAAUAUGCAUGCAUGCUUUUCCAUGAUUUUACUUUGGCUUUUACCCAAUCUUACUGGUUAACCUUGUUAACCCCAAUAACUCACAACCCAAAAUCCCUUAAUAAUGGGGGACUCGAACAACCCUAGGGACCGUCCUCUGGGGGGACUUUACCACGCCCAGUGGUGACCAACUCUGGAGCGCACCGCUAGAGGGGGAGCUACCUCCCUCAAGCCAAGACUUAUCGUGAGUAUCGAUCCAAUCCUAGACUUGAGGAUACACAGCCGCUAGUCACAAUGCCAUUGUCAUAACAGGUUUCUACCUAUUUGUUCAUGCUACUUUCCAAGUCAUACUUGUCACAAUGUUGCUAUGGUUAAACUAUGUUUAACAACCAAUUUCUCAAUGCCAAUCAUGUCUCUAUUGUCAAUGUCACCUUUGUUUACUAUUGUCCAAGUCCAAGUCUCACAUUCAUACAACUUUAGGGUCUCUACCAUACAUGUCCA
rnacentral:lncRNA from 1 species